rnacentral:rRNA from 1 species
AUUGAACGCUGGCGGCAGGCCUAACACAUGCAAGUCGAGCGGAUGAAGGGAGCUUGCUCCUGGAUUCAGCGGCGGACGGGUGAGUAAUGCCUAGGAAUCUGCCUGGUAGUGGGGGAUAACGCCCGGAAACGGGCGCUAAUACCGCAUACGUCCUGAGGGAGAAAGUGGGGGAUCUUCGGACCUCACGCUAUCAGAUGAGCCUAGGUCGGAUUAGCUAGUUGGUGGGGUAAAGGCCUACCAAGGCGACGAUCCGUAACUGGUCUGAGAGGAUGAUCAGUCACACUGGAACUGAGACACGGUCCAGACUCCUACGGGAGGCAGCAGUGGGGAAUAUUGGACAAUGGGCGAAAGCCUGAUCCAGCCAUGCCGCGUGUGUGAAGAAGGUCUUCGGAUUGUAAAGCACUUUAAGUUGGGAGGAAGGGCAGUAAGUUAAUACCUUGCUGCUUUGACGUUACCAACAGAAUAAGCACCGGCUAACUUCGUG